AUUCUCACAAUGCAGAUGAGAGCAAUUCAAUUUCAAAGUAAAUGCCCCAAAAUUAUUGGAUCUCAAGAAUCCGGAAGAUUCCAAAAAAAUUAAAAUUAUUGUACCUGAAACCCUAACCCCUCUUUGCCCUUUCUUUCUCCGCCGCUGGAACUCGCGUCAGGAACUUGCAACCGCCAUAGCCCAGCGGCGAGUUUCCUAACAGAGACAGGCCGUGCGAUUUUCCUCCGAUCCUUGCGGCGAGUAGUCUCUGACCUCGCAACCUGGUGAUUAUCAUCCUCGUAAUCAUCGUCUUCUACAACGCCGCUUCUCUCUUUAUUCCGAUCCUCCACCUUCCAUUUCAAUAAAGGAGUCUCCGGCCGGCUUCGUCUGCCACCAGAAGGACCGGAUCUUCGCUGACGAGUCAAACUCGGGUUCCUAGCUCGACGUUUAGUGACAGUAGUAGCUCUUUGAAUAGCUCUGAGAUCUGGACCGUGAGAGAAGAGAUUCUUAUCCGACUCAAAGGCCGGUAAUGUCGCCGUCGAAUACGGCUUUCCGGUGACUUUCAUCACGUAAUCACCGCCAUAAACAAAACGUGAAGAACCGACCAAAAAUCUCGGAGAAACCCCAAAAGAGCUCGAGAAUCACAGACGAAAAUGCGUGCCUCAGAGAUAGAGGGAGAGAGAUAGCUUUGAGUUCGUGAAGCCAAAAAAUCGCUUUGUUGUGAGAGUCUUGUGACUGAAACGAGAGAGAGAGAGAGAUGAGUAUAUGAAUACGUAUAUUUGUAAAACCCAUGUGUAUUGGUCAACGGUAUAAGACCAAGACGACGUCGUAUCAUUAGAGAGUGGAUGUGUACGCGCGUAGUAGCGCGUGGGGAGCGUUUCCCUAAACUACAUGGGGAGGGAGAGAGCUCUCUAGCUUGGUGGUGCGUGUUGUUUGCAGAGAGACGUUGGGAAUAUAUGAUUAAAGAAUGUAUUUUAAAAACAAAAAUGUUUCAAUAAAUUAUUGGUGUACGUGU